GGGGAAUAUUGCGCAAUGGGGGAAACCCUGACGCAGCAACGCCGCGUGAGUGAUGAAGGCCUUCGGGUUGUAAAGCUCUGUCUUCUGGGACGAUAAUGACGGUACCCGAGGAGGAAGCUCCGGCUAACUACGUGCCAGCAGCCGCGGUAAU
rnacentral:rRNA from 1 species